UACGAAGGGGGCUAGCGUUGCUCGGAAUCACUGGGCGUAAAGCGCACGUAGGCGGAUUGCUAAGUCAGGGGUGAAAUCCCGAGGCUCAACCUCGGAACUGCCUUUGAUACUGGGGAUCUCGAGUCCGGGAGAGGUGAGUGGAACUGCGAGUGUAGAGGUGAAAUUCGUAGAUAUUCGCAAGAACACCAGUGGCGAAGGCGGCUCACUGGCCCGGAACUGACGCUGAGGUGCGAAAGCGUGGGGAGCAAACAGG
rnacentral:rRNA from 1 species